rnacentral:rRNA from 1 species
AUACGGAGGGUGCAAGCGUUAAUCGGAAUCACUGGGCGUAAGGCGCACGUAGGCUGUUUGGUAAGUCAGGGGUGAAAUCCCGCAGCUCAACUGCGGAAUUGCCCUUGAUACUGCUGGACUUGAGUUCGGGAGAGGGUGGCGGAAUUCCAGGUGUGGGAGUGAAAUCCGUAGAUAUCUGGAGGAACAUCAGUGGCGAAGGCGGCCACCUGGACCGAUACUGACGCUGAGGUGCGAAAGCGUGGGGAGC